rnacentral:lncRNA from 1 species
GCUGGCAGGAGGGGGAUGAUCCGCCUCACUUCUCCCACCUCCUGUCUCUCCUCCUCCCUGGGCCUGGACACACCUACUCCAACUUUCUCUCUGCAGCCUCCGGGCUGGGGCUGUGCCGAGAGCCUUCCUGCUCGGCUCCUCUGUACCUCCCUCUGGAGCCUUCAGCUCCAGGGACCCCAGCCCAGCACCCCCUCCUUUCAGGCACCCUCCCUACCUGAGGGACACAGUGUUUUGAGGAACCUCCUUGCUGUUUUCCAUCACGGCUGCUUACAUCACCAGCAACGUGCACGGAGCUUCUCUUCCUUCACACCCUCACCGGCACUUGUUGUCUUUAGUCUUUUUGAUGACAGCCAUCCUAAGA